rnacentral:rRNA from 1 species
UUUAAAGAGAGUUUGAUCCUGGCUCAGGACGAACGCUGGCGGCGUGCCUAAUACAUGCAAGUCGAACGAACGGAGGAAGAGCUUGCUCUUCCAAAGUUAGUGGCGGACGGGUGAGUAACACGUGGGCAACCUGCCUGUAAGUUGGGGAUAACUCCGGGAAACCGGGGCUAAUACCGAAUGAUAAGAUGUGGCGCAUGCCAUGCCUUUGAAAGAUGGUUUCGGCUAUCGCUUACAGAUGGGCCCGCGGUGCAUUAGCUAGUUGGUAGGGUAAUGGCCUACCAAGGCAACGAUGCAUAGCCGACCUGAGAGGGUGAUCGGCCACACUGGGACUGAGACACGGCCCAGACUCCUACGGGAGGCAGCAGUAGGGAAUCUUCCGCAAUGGACGAAAGUCUGACGGAGCAACGCCGCGUGUAUGAAGAAGGUUUUCG